AUGAGCAACAAGGCCCUCACACUCGGCGCGGUCGUCGUCCUCGCCUUCGCCAUGGCGGGCGCGCACGCCGAGCAGUGCGGCCACGCGGCCGACGGCAUGGAGUGCCCCAACAACCUCUGCUGCAGCGCGUGGGGGUACUGCGGCAUGGACGCCAACUACUGCGGCGAUGGCUGCCAGAGCGGCGCCUGCUACGAGCCCAAACGCUGCGGCGCCCAGGCCGGGGCGAACGCGGUGACGUGCCCCAACAACCACUGCUGCAGCGGCGACGGGUUCUGCGGCUACGGCCAGGAGUACUGCGGCGCCGGCUGCCAGAACGGGCCCUGCCGCGCCAACAUCAAGUGCAGCGCCGACAAGCCGUGCCUGAGCAACUUCUGCUGCAGCCAGUACGGAUACUGCGGGCUCGGCGUCGAGUUCUGCGGCCAGGGCUGCCAGAGCGGCGCCUGCCAUGACGCCGUUGGUGCCGCCGCCCUGCCGCUCAGCUCCAUAGUGCAGGGGUGA
rnacentral:rRNA from 1 species